rnacentral:rRNA from 1 species
CCUACGGGUGGCAGCAGUGGGGAAUAUUGGGCAAUGGGCGCAAGCCUGACCCAGCAACGCCGCGUGAAGGAAGAAGGCUCUCGGGUUGUAAACUUCUUUUAUCAGGGACGAAGCAAGUGACGGUACCUGAUGAAUAAGCCACGGCUAACUACGUGCCAGCAGCCGCUGUAAUACGGAGGUGGCAAGCGUUAUCCGGAUUUACUGGGUGUAAAGGGCGUGUAGGCGGGAAAGCAAGUCAGAUGUGAAAACCAGGGGCUCAACCUGUGGCCUGCAUUUGAAACUGUCUUUCUUGAGUACUGGAGAGGCAGACGGAAUUCGUAGUGUAGCGGUGAAAUGCGUAGAUAUUAGGAGGAACACCAGUGGCGAAGGCGGUUUGCUGAACAGCAACUGACGCUGAGGCGCGAAAGCGUGGGGAGCAAACAGGAUUAGAUACCCGUGUAGUC